AUUCCAGCCAUGUGAGGCAAUUGGAUUUUGGAGAGGCAGACAUGUUUUUAUGCUACUAGUUAAUAGUGAAUCUCCCUUUUGGGGGUUGUAGAAGAGCAGCUUCAGGGAGCAGCUGUCUUCUGGGACAAAACUGACAACAGCAACACCAUGAAAAAUCCUGGCCUUUAGUUCUUCAGGGAUGUGGAAACUCAAAUAAAGAGAGGUGAAAGAGUCCCCAGGACAACACAAAAAGGUGACAGAGCCACUGAAUUUAAAUCCAUACCCUCUAAUUCAAGGAAAUGAAAGAAGAGUUUUGAAGAGACAGCUGCCCUCCAUGCUCACGGCAGCAUCAUUCAAAACAGCUAAGAUGAAGAAACAACUAAAAAAGUCUGUUGAGAAAUGAAUAAAGAAAUACAAUAAUUUGUUUUUUUCUUCUUCCCACUUUCAACUUGUGAGACCCCAUCACUGCCUUUUGGACUCUUGCUUCUUUUCUGAUUCAUGUUCCUGUUCACCAUCACCUGCCCCACAGCACCCUCACAGGAAAAGAAAAAAAAAAGCCAAAACAAAACCGAUCUCUUUGUUCACUGGAUCAAAAGUCUUUUAUUAUAGUGCAUUCAGACAUUCAGAAUACAUAUAUGAGGCCUGCU
rnacentral:lncRNA from 10 species